GAACGCUAGCUACAGGCUAACACAUGCAAGUCGAGGGGCAGUCAGGGUCUGUGCCUGCACAGAGUUGCUGGCGACCGGCGCACGGGUGAGUAACGCGUAUCCAACUUCCCCUUAGUAGAGGAUAGCCGGCGAAAGUCGGAUUAAUACUCUAUGUUGUUCGAUGCGGACAUCUAAGUUGAACCAAAGGUUUACCGCUAAGGGAUGGGGAUGCGUCUGAUUAGGUAGUAGGCGGGGUAACGGCCACCUAGCCAACGAUCAGUAGGGGUUCUGAGAGGAAGGUCCCCCACAUUGGAACUGAGACACGGUCCAAACUCCUACGGGAGGCAGCAGUGAGGAAUAUUGGUCAAUGGACGAGAGUCUGAACCAGCCAAGUAGCGUGCAGGAUGACGGCCCUAUGGGUUGUAAACUGCUUUUAUGCGGGGAUAAAGUGAGGGACGUGUCCCUUAUUGUAGGUACCGCAUGAAUAAGGACCGGCUAAUUCCGUGCCAGCAGCGGC
rnacentral:rRNA from 1 species